AGGACGAACGCUGGCGGCGUGCUUAACACAUGCAAGUCGAGCGGAAAGGCCCUUCGGGGUACUCGAGCGGCGAACGGGUGAGUAACACGUGAGCAACCUGCCCUUAGCUUCGGGAUAGCUCCGGGAAACCGGAAUUAAAUACCGAAUAUGACUUUGGCUGACAUCAGCAGAAGUGGAAAGUUUUUCGGCUAGGGAUGGACUCGCGGCCUAUCAGCUAGUUGGUGAGGUAACGGCCCACCAAGGCGACGACGGGGUAGCC
rnacentral:rRNA from 1 species